AUUUUAUUAACCAAAUGAUUACGAAUCACGAAUGGUUUCAUUUGGGUAAACAAGUUAUUACGAGGAGAAAUUGUUACAUUUGAGUAAAAUACCCAUUACCCAAAUGUAAAAAUUUAUUCCAGUAAUAAUGGCGCUACGUCACCAUUUCGUUUAUAAAAUUACUAAUCGCUCUGCAAAUAUUCCCGUUUACAAGUCAACGUAGCUAGCGCCAUUAUUAGGCCACAUAAAAAAAUAGUUGGUUAGCGUCCUUAGCUUUUGCCAAUAAGUGGGCAGGCGGGCGCUUUUUUUUUAUUUUUACUAAUUUUUAACACCUUGGUUUUAGGUCCGAAACUGGAUUUUCGUGCGCAAGUACAGAUAUUUUUUUAUAUAUUUCAAAAUAUGAUUCAUACCGUCAUUUUCGCACGCAAUUUCGCAAUUUAUUAACACAAUCGACUACAGUCAACAGAAAUACUACAUAUAUUAGAGCCCGUACAUUUGGUAUUUUACCCAAAUGUAACAAUUUCUCCCCGUGAUAAUUUGUUUACCCAAAUGAAACCAUUCGUGAUGGGUAGGGAUAAAACGCUGAAACUGAAUCACGGAAACGGAAACUGAAAGCGGAAACUGAAGUGGGGAUAAAACGCUGAAAUGGGGAUAAAACGCUGAAAUGGGGAUAAAACGCUGAAAUGGGCAAAUUUAAUCGAAUUCGUUGUUUGCUAGACCAUUGCGAACACAUGUAAUUUGUCUAUAAAACUGAAUAAAUAUAAGAAAGAAGUUACCGGUAAAAUGACAACCACAAAAUUUCGAAGAACGUCUGCUGCACUAUUUGUAAAGUCGUUUGAAUUAAUUUUGACUAUACUAUACCUCGCUCGCGGUAAAGAUUGACAAAUUAUGAACCUGCGUUUAAUAAACUGAAUACUGCAGUGAGACAAUAUAAUGCAUG